UACGGGGGGGGCAAGCGUUGUUCGGAAUUACUGGGCGUAAAGGGCUCGUAGGCGGCCAUUUAAGUCAGACGUGAAAGCCCUCGGCUUAACCGGGGAACGGCGUCUGAGACUGGGCGGCUUGAAUCCGGGAGAGGGAUGCGGAAUUCCAGGUGUAGCGGUGAAAUGCGUAGAUAUCUGGAGGAACACCGGUGGCGAAGGCGGCAUCCUGGACCGGUAUUGACGCUGAGACGCGAAAGCGUGGGGAGCGAACAGG
rnacentral:rRNA from 1 species